rnacentral:lncRNA from 10 species
GCUUCUAAUUUCUAAUGGAUUGCUUUUGUAACUUUUGGAGUAUUGCCAUUGAGUUUUUGACAAUUGAGAAAUUGACAAUAAAUUUCCCUUAAUUUAUUGUCAGAUGGUUUCUAGUGGAUUUAUCUUAGCGGUUUGCUGAACUUCCCCCAGAAACCUGCUCGGAAGUCACCUGAGCCUUAGCCAGCAGAGGACUCUUUUGAUCCAUGUCCUUAGGCUGUUGAGCUCAGCUCAGGGAAUUGCUCCAUCCAGACCACCACAGCUCUUCCAGAUUUAAACUGAAACAUUGCCUCUUCCUGGGUCUUGAACAUGCCAGCCUUCAGCCUGUAACUACACCAUUGGCUCUUCUGGGUCUCCAGCUUGUCAACUCACCCUGUAGGUCUUAGGACUUGUCAGCCUCCAUAAUUGGGGACAUGAAGAGCAAGAAAUGGAAACAAGCGAGCCCCACAGAGAGUUCGGAUUAAUGUGCAGUAAUUGCAUCACUGAUAUCUGUGUCCAGUCACAGUUGGCAUUCAAGAUUCUGUUGACUUUUACUGUUGAAGGCUUCCUUUAAGGGAAGCAAACACAAAUAAAAAGGCUGCCUCUCCACUGUAGCAAAGCUAAGUAAGAUCACUGUCCAACCCAGGAUAUCCAAAUUCAUGGUCAAAAAUCCAAAAGGGCUCAUCCAGCGCUUCUGGAGCAGCAGGGAAGCUUUGCCACAGGAUCCAGCAUCUCAGGGCACAGUAUCUUGCAUGGCUGACUUGAUCUCACUUUCUUCCUCGGAGCAGCUGUGUGGCAAUUCAGAGGUGAAGAGGCAGAUAAUUGGACAGUGGAAUUGAGUCCUGUGUGAUACAGAGCUAAAAAAGAAAUUCCUUCAGUAUCAACAGCAGUGUGGAAAGAACCCAACAAACAAAACUCUGUAUGUACAGCAAAUGAAGCCAAAGGGUGGCUUGAGAACAGUGGAGUUCUGCUUGGAUGUGACGAGACCACCAGCCAGAAAGCUCAGAGGCAUUACUCAUGAUGCAAGGCUGCUGUCAAGUAAUGAUUUAACUUAAAAAUGCCAUCUAUUCUUUUCCCUACCUGCCUACUCAGUACAUUGCAAAUUAACAUGAAAAGUGACUUCAGCACAAAUUGUUUAAUUUGUUUUUGUCAGGCCCGAGGUGUUGUGGAAACAAGAGACCCAG